AUGCAACAACAGCCGAGGCGACGACCCUACAUGAUAGAAGGACUUGGGUGUGUUCCUGUUAUUACUGAAACUGAUUCGCUGGAACUUUUCAAAGCUUUCAACGAAACUAUUCAGGUGAGGACAGCGAUUCUCAGACUGCUUUCAGAUAGCUUUAGGAUUGGUGAAAUAUUGGUGCAACACUGCAAUCGGAGUUGUGAUUAUCCAGUGGUACAGUACGCAGAUGACACGAUCCUGGUGAUGCCUGCCUGUUCUGAUCAAGCUGCUCGAAUGAAAUCCAUCCUGGUGGAUUACACUACCUCUGUGGGGCUGCGGAUCAAUUUUCAUAAGUCCACCUUGAUACCUAUCAAUCUGGACCCGCAGCGAGCGGGAGAGCUUGCACAUAUCUUCGGUUGCACGGUUGGCUCCCUCCCCUUCGCCUAUCUUGGCCUCCCCAUGGGCACCACGAGGCCGUCACUGCUGGAACUCAUGCCAAUGGUGCAUGGGGUGGAGAGAAAACUAUCCACUGCCCUGUAUUUGAUGUCGUCCGAGGCCAAGCUCACAUUGGUCAAUUCAACCAUCACUUCGAUGCUGAUUUACGCCAUGUGCACGAUCAAGCUUCAUACGAAGGUAGUCGAGCAUCUUGAUAAGCUGCGCAGGUAUUGCUUGUGGGCCAAGAAUACUGAUGAUGGGGUCAAAAACAAUUCUCUUGCGGCAUGGGAGCUGGUUUGUCGACCCAAGGGUAAGGGUGGACUUGGUGUGAUUGAUGUCAAAACCCAGAACAUGGCCCUGCUCCUCAAACACCUCUUCAAGUUCUAUAAUCGGGAAGAUGUCCCCUAG
rnacentral:rRNA from 1 species